UGUAAACUAAAUAACACAAAAACAUCCUUGGUAAUUGCUUCUGAUCGUGUAUUUGGAAGAUGAAGACUACGUCGAUCUCCCUCCUUGCUAUUCUGUUAUUGACAGUCCUGGUCCCUGAUUUGGCCUCUUCUAAAACCAUUAGUGGAUCUUGUUAUAGCCUAGCCCAGUGUGAUUAUAAUAUGUCGUGUUUCCGGUACUGCACAACAAGGGGAUAUCCUAUCGGUAACUGUCAACUGUCUCUAUCAUGCCCAGGAAGAAAUAGAUACAAAUGUAUCUGCAGCACGGAAGACGUUGAAGAUAUGAUCAACUACUUGUGAAUAAUUCCUAAAUAAAAUUCCAUGUUAAAAAUGAAA